AAACUCAAAUGAAGUUGACGGGGCCCGGCACGAAGCGGUGGAGCAUGUGGUUAAUUCGACGCAACGCGAAGAACCUUACCUGGACUUGACAUCCCGGGAAUCCCCUGGAAACAGGGAGUGCCCUUCGGGAACCCGGUGACAGGUGCUGCAUGGUUGUCGUCAGCUCGUGUCGUGAGAUGUUGGGUUAAGUCCCGCAACGAGCGCAACCCCUACGUUUAGUUGCUAACGCGUGAAGGCGAGCACUCUAGACGAACUGCCGUUGACAAAACGGAGGAAGGUGGGGAUGACGUCAAAUCAUCAUGCCCCUUAUGUUCUGGGCUACACACGUGCUACAAUGGCCGGUACAGACGGACGCAAAGCCGCGAGGUGGAGCAAAUCCUAAAAAGCCGGUCUCAGUUCGGAUUGCAGGCUGCAAUUCGCCUGCAUGAAGUCGGAAUCGCUAGUAAUCGCAGGUCAGCAUACUGCGGUGAAUACGUUCCCGGGCCUU
rnacentral:rRNA from 1 species